UACGUAGGGACCAAGCGUUGUUCGGAUUUACUGGGCGUAAAGGGCGCGUAGGCGGCAAUUCAAGUCAGCUGUGAAAUCUCCGGGCUUAACUCGGAACGGUCAGCUGAUACUGCUUUGCUAGAGUACAGAAGGGGCAAUCGGAAUUCUUGGUGUAGCGGUGAAAUGCGUAGAUAUCAAGAGGAACACCUGAGGUGAAGACGGGUUGCUGGGCUGAUACUGACGCUGAGGCGCGAAAGCUAGGGUAGCAAAC
rnacentral:rRNA from 1 species